rnacentral:rRNA from 1 species
GGCGGCCCCAGGAAGAAGGCGGUGGCGCGGUCCGUCAAGGCCGGGCUGCAGUUCCCCGUCGGCCGCAUCGGCCGCUUCCUCAAGAAGGGCCGCUACGCGCAGCGCGUCGGCAUGGGCGCCCCCGUCUACCUCGCCUCCGUCCUGGAGUACCUCGCCGCCGAGCUUCUGGAGCUCGCAGGGAACGCCGCCAAGGACAACAAGAAGUCCCGCAUCAUCCCGCGCCACCUGCUGCUCGCCAUCCGGAACGACCAAGAGCUCGGCAAGCUGCUCGCCGGCGUCACCAUCGCGCAUGGCGGCGUGCUGCCCAACAUCAACCCCGUGCUGCUCCCCAAGAAGACGGCCGAGAAGGACCCCAAGUCGCCCAAGAAGGCCCCCAAGUCCCCCAAGUCCCCCAAGAAGGCUUAG